rnacentral:rRNA from 1 species
AUUGAACGCUGGCGGCAGGCUUAACACAUGCAAGUCGAGCGGGCGAGGUUGCUUCGGUAACUGAGCUAGCGGCGGACGGGUGAGUAAUGCUUAGGAAUCUGCCUAUUAGUGGGGGACAACAUUCCGAAAGGAAUGCUAAUACCGCAUACGCCCUACGGGGGAAAGCAGGGGAUCUUCGGACCUUGCGCUAAUAGAUGAGCCUAAGUCAGAUUAGCUAGUUGGUGGGGUAAAGGCCUACCAAGGCGACGAUCUGUAGCGGGUCUGAGAGGAUGAUCCGCCACACUGGGACUGAGACACGGCCCAGACUCCUACGGGAGGCAGCAGUGGGGAAUAUUGGACAAUGGGCGAAAGCCUGAUCCAGCCAUGCCGCGUGUGUGAAGAAGGCCUUUUGGUUGUAAAGCACUUUAAGCGAGGAGGAGGCUACCGAGAUUAAUACUCUUGGAUAGUGGACGUUACUCGCAGAAUAAGCACCGGCUAACUCUGUGCCAGCAGCCGCGGUAAUACAGAGGGUGCGAGCGUUAAUCGGAUUUACUGGGCGUAAAGCGUGCGUAGGCGGCUUCUUAAGUCGGAUGUGAAAUCCCUGAGCUUAACUUAGGAAUUGCAUUCGAUACUGGGAAGCUAGAGUAUGGGAGAGGAUGGUAGAAUUCCAGGUGUAGCGGUGAAAUGCGUAGAGAUCUGGAGGAAUACCGAUGGCGAAGGCAGCCAUCUGGCCUAAUACUGACGCUGAGGUACGAAAGCAUGGG